rnacentral:rRNA from 1 species
AACGAACGCUGGCGGCGUGGAUAAGACAUGCAAGUCGAACGGGACUAAAUCUGUAGCAAUACAGGUUUAGUUUAGUGGCGAACGGGUGCGUAACACGUGGGCAAUCUGCCGAGAAGUGGAGGAUAGCUCGCCGAAAGGCGAAUUAAUACCGCAUAUGAUCAGUGAAGACAUCUUCACGACAUCAAAGCCGGGGCAACCUGGCGCUUCUUGAUGAGCCCGCGGCCUAUCAGCUAGUUGGUGAGGUAACGGCUCACCAAGGCUAUAACGGGUAGCUGGUCUGAGAGGACGACCAGUCACACUGGAACUGAGACACGGUCCAGACACCUACGGGUGGCAGCAGUCGAGUAAUUUUUCUCAAUGGGGCAACCCUGAAGGAGCGACGCCGCGUGGAGGAUGAAGG